GACGAACGCUGGCGGCGUGCCUAAUACAUGCAAGUAGAACGCUGAAGAGAGGAGCUUGCUCUUCUUGGAUGAGUUGCGAACGGGUGAGUAACGCGUAGGUAACCUGCCUUGUAGCGGGGGAUAACUAUUGGAAACGAUAGCUAAUACCGCAUAACAAUGGAUGACACAUGUCAUUUAUUUGAAAGGGGCAAUUGCUCCACUACAAGAUGGACCUGCGUUGUAUUAGCUAGUAGGUGAGGUAACGGCUCACCUAGGCGACGAUACAUAGCCGACCUGAGAGGGUGAUCGGCCACACUGGGACUGAGACACGGCCCAGACUCCUACGGGAGGAAGCAGUAGGGAAUCUUCGGCAAUGGGGGCAACCCUGACCGAGCAACGCCGCGUGAGUGAAGAAGGUUUUCGGAUCGUAAAGCUCUGUUGUAAGUCAAGAACGAGUGUGAGAGUGGAAAGUUCACACUGUGACGGUAGCUUACCAGAAAGGGACGGCUAACUAUGUG
rnacentral:rRNA from 1 species